rnacentral:rRNA from 1 species
CUUAGUAACGGCGAGUGAAGCGGCAAAAGCUCAAAUUUGAAAUCUGGCACCUUCGGUGUCCGAGUUGUAAUUUGAAGAAGGUAACUUUGGAGUUGGCUCUUGUCUAUGUUCCUUGGAACAGGACGUCACAGAGGGUGAGAAUCCCGUGCGAUGAGAUGCCCAAUUCUAUGUAAAGUGCUUUCGAAGAGUCGAGUUGUUUGGGAAUGCAGCUCUAAGUGGGUGGUAAAUUCCAUCUAAAGCUAAAUAUUGGCGAGAGACCGAUAGCGAACAAGUACAGUGAUGGAAAGAUGAAAAGAACUUUGAAAAGAGAGUGAAAAAGUACGUGAAAUUGUUGAAAGGGAAGGGCUUGAGAUCAGACUUGGUAUUUUGCGAUCCUUUCCUUCUUGGUUGGGUUCCUCGCAGCUUACUGGGCCAGCAUCGGUUUGGAUGGUAGGAUAAUGACUAAGGAAUGUGGCUCUACUUCGGUGGAGUGUUAUAGCCUUGGUUGAUACUGCCUGUCUAGACCGAGGACUGCGUCUUUGACUAGGA